ACCUUGUGUUAGAGAAUCUGUUAUUUGUUUCUGUGUUUGUGUAGACACAGGACCCUCAGAGGAAAGUUGGGAACAGAUGGAAGAAAUAAAAUGGCGUCUGUUCUCUCCUCAGUCUCUUGGAUAAGUUACCGGCUCUAGUAGAGAUAACAGGAGCAGUGACGAGAGUCCCGGUAGGAGUGGUUCUGAUCUGGGAAUGAAGCUGAAUCUUCAAAGGGCAGCCAAGUUUGCCAGCUUCUUUUUCUUUAUCCUACUGAUAUUUUAAUUAGGAGAUUCAGAACUUUGAAUAUAUUUCCAGCCUGAAGAAUAUGGAGUAUAAGUAAUAACAUAUUCUCCUACCAAGAGAACCAUUAAACAUAUCCUUGUGGUGUUUCCUAUAGGGAGACAUUAACUAUUCAAUUCUCAUACACAUUAUGUACAUGUACAUGCAAAUGAAGUGGAGGAAUCCAUGUAAAUAAUUUUUACAAUUAUUGGAUAAUAAGUUAUUUUUACCAUCUUUUGAGUAAGCUAUUUGUUUUGACAGGUUCUAGAUAAUAUAUACAAAAAUAAUGAAAAUAAUAUAUUGGGUGUAUACUCAGAAUUAAUCUAUAAUAAACACACUACAUCAUACUUUCGAAAGAAGCUUCUUCUAAUGAGGAAGGAAGGAGGGAAGGAAGGAAGGAGAGAAUGAAGGAGAGAAGGAAGGAGGGAGGGAGGGAGGGAAGGAAGGAAGGGAGGAGGCAAGGAAGGAAGGGAGGGAGGAAGGAGGCAAGGAAUGAAGGAGCGAAGGAGACAGGGAGAAAGAAAGCAAAACAAAAAAACCAAAACUGACACCAAUUCAAGAAGAAAAAUCAGCAGUUACAUCUGCUUAUUUUCAGCCCAAUGUAGUAAUGCAGAAUUAAACUAAAUUUGAACCUGGCAGUCUGAAUGGGCCUCCCCACAAUGUCAAAUUUGGAACCAGACAAUGAUUCAAUAAAAUAAAGGAAAAUAGAAUACAUAACUUAGAUUCAAAAUUAUUCUUUCACGUUUAAAGCCUUCAGUUUGCAGUAGAUGAAGAAAGCAUAUUCAGAUAUUUUUAAAAUCAGAAAUAUUAUAGUAAGAAAGUAAAUGAAGUUGUAAGUCUAAUACUUUUGUGAAAUUAAAUAUUUGAUAAAGUUUUAUCAUCAUUUGCUGACUUAAAAUUUGUCAAUGCACAAAUAGUCAUAAUAGGAGGAUUUAGUUCUCCAGCUACGCUGCAGGUUUAAGUAAAUGUUUUAGAGGCUUUGAUCUGGGGAGGCCUGGCCACAGGCUAUUGAGAGCACAGUAAAAGAUGACUGAGAAAUCCAAAUCAAAAGUGAAACCCUAGUUCUUUUAAUUGUGAUGUUAGGGUGUCAAUUUUAGAUCUUUCCUGCUUUCUCUUGUUGGCAUUUAGUGCUAUAAAUUUCCCUCUACACACUGCUUUGAAUGUGUCCCAGAGAUUCUGGUAUGUUGUGUCUUUGUUCUCGUUGGUUUCAAAGAACAUCUUUAUUUCUGCCUUCAUUUUGUUAUGUACCCAGUAGUCACUCAGGAGCAGGUUGUUCAGUUUCCAUGUAGUUGAGCAGUUUUGAGAGAGUUUCUUAAGCCUGAGUUCUAGUUUGAUUGCACUGUGGUCUGAGAGACAGAUUGUUAUAAUUUCUGUUCUUUUACAUUUGCUGAGGAGUACUU
rnacentral:lncRNA from 10 species